UACAGAGGCCCCAAGCGUUACUGAGAAUCACUGGGUUUAAAGGGUGCGUAGGUGGUCCGUUAAGUCCGUUGUGAAAUCCCUGGGCUCAACCCAGGAAAUGCUUCGGAUACUGGCGGACUUGAGGCUAGUAGAGGUCACUGGAACUGACGGUGGAGCGGUGAAAUGCGUAGAUAUCGUCAGGAACGCCAAUGGUGAAGACAGGUGACUGGGCUAGUUCUGACACUGAGGCACGAAAGCGUGGGGAUCAAACGGG
rnacentral:rRNA from 1 species